rnacentral:rRNA from 1 species
UACAGAGGGUGCAAGCGUUGUCCGGAAUUAUUGGGCGUAAAGAGCUCGUAGGCGGUUUGUCGCGUCUGCUGUGAAAACCCGAGGCUCAACCUCGGGCCUGCAGUGGGUACGGGCAAACUAGAGUGCGGUAGGGGAGAAUGGAAUUCCUGGUGUAGCGGUGGAAUGCGCAGAUAUCAGGAGGAACACCGAUGGCGAAGGCAGUUCUCUGGGCCGUAACUGACGCUGAGGAGCGAAAGCGUGGGGAGCGAACAGG